ACCUAUCUAAUACAAGAAAGUAUACUUGACUUCCAAUCAAGAAAUUUGUGAAAACAAGAUGAGUA
rnacentral:tRNA from 1 species